AGAACGAACGCUGGCGGCAUGCCUAACACAUGCAAGUCGAACGAGACCUUCGGGUCUAGUGGCGCACGGGUGCGUAACGCGUGGGAAUCUGCCCCUUGGUUCGGAAUAACAGUUAGAAAUGACUGCUAAUACCGGAUGACGACGUAAGUCCAAAGAUUUAUCGCCGAGGGAUGAGCCCGCGUAGGAUUAGCUAGUUGGUGAGGUAAUGGCUCACCAAGGCGACGAUCCUUAGCUGGUCUGAGAGGAUGAUCAGCCACACUGGGACUGAGACACGGCCCAGACUCCUACGGGAGGCAGCAGUGGGGAAUAUUGGACAAUGGGCGAAAGCCUGAUCCAGCAAUGCCGCGUGAGUGAUGAAGGCCUUAGGGUUGUAAAGCUCUUUACCAGGGAUGAUAAUGACAGUACCUGGAGAAUAAGCUCCGGCUAACUCCGUGCCAGCAGCCGC
rnacentral:rRNA from 1 species